CAAGUAGGCGAGGUAAUCGCUCUGUACGCAAGUACAGAGAGGAAGGUCCGAACACCCUGUCUUUUUUGACACAGGCAGCGGGUAACGCCCGUCGUCGGUGACGAUAGAGGUGCGAACAGUGACGCUUUAAGACGCAAGUUUUAAAGCACCCCUUUGGGGUGAAUCUCUGUGAAAACAGAGAGUGAAACGGCUAAAUCCUUGCCCGGGUGCAAGAGCAAAUAUAGUAGCUCGCAAGAGCCAAGGGGCAACUCUUGGCCUAGAUAGAUGAUUACCUAAAACUGAAUUCGGCCUAUAGCCUGCUUGGGUU
rnacentral:RNase_P_RNA from 2 species